rnacentral:snRNA from 1 species
UAGUAUUAUAGCUCUUUUAGAAUUUGUCUAGCCAGUUUGCCGGUUCCUACGAGAAAGCCUUC